rnacentral:piRNA from 1 species
UGGGUGGCUCUCCAUCGCCGGUGGCACCAGU